UACAGAGGGUGCGAGCGUUAAUCGGAAUUACUGGGCGUAAAGCGUGCGCAGACGGUCACGUAAGUCGGGUGUGAAAGCCCCGGGCUCCACCUGGGAAUUGCAUUCGAGACUGCGUGGCUAGGGUGCGGAAGAGGGAAGCGGAAUUUCUGGUGUAGCGGUGAAAUGCGUAGAUAUCGGAAGGAACACCAGUGGCGAAAGCGGCUCCUGGUCCAGCACCGACGUCAGGCACGAAAGCG
rnacentral:rRNA from 1 species